GAUGAACGCUGGCGGCGUGCCUAAUACAUGCAAGUCGAGCGAACAGACGAGGAGCUUGCUCCUCUGACGUUAGCGGCGGACGGGUGAGUAACACGUGGAUAACCUACCUAUAAGACUGGGAUAACUUCGGGAAACCGGAGCUAAUACCGGAUAAUAUAUUGAACCGCAUGGUUCAAUAGUGAAAGACGGUUUUGCUGUCACUUAUAGAUGGAUCCGCGCCGCAUUAGCUAGUUGGUAAGGUAACGGCUUACCAAGGCGACGAAGCGUAGCCGACCUGAGAGGGUGAUCGGCCACACGGGAACUGAGACACGGUCCAGACUCCUACGGGAGGCAGCAGUAGGGAAUCUUCCGCAAUGGGCGAAAGCCUGACGGAGCAACGCCGCGUGAGUGAUGAAGGUCUUCGGAUCGUAAAACUCUGUUAUUAGGGAAGAACAAAUGUGUAAGUAACUAUGCACGUCUUGACGGUACCUAAUCAGAAAGCCACGGCUAACUACGUG
rnacentral:rRNA from 1 species